CAGGAUCUUGAAUAGUUGAUCAAAUAUUACGUUAGAUAUGAGUCUGCCGCAGUCAGGUGCAUAUGCAGGUUUUACAUUUGUUCUAUGUUGCUGAGGUCCUGAGUUGUCUGCUACAAGUUGAAAAUUCAAGGCUUAGUCUACAAUCUAUAUGAAAUGCACUAAAAAGGCAUCUCCAACCCAAAUACGGAAUCACCAGAAGUCUCCUCAAAAGUUGCACUUGCUGAUGAAGAUGCCAGGUGUGAGAAUUCUGACUAGAAACUAUAUGCUGAUGUUUCAACUAUCAGUUCAAAGGAGGAAUUGGUAAAGCAGCAAAGUUGCAGAAUAUACGUUACAGGUUGGGAAAAGGCUGAUAAGAGGUAGUCACUUUAAAUCAGCAGCUUGAUACUGCAACAAAGAAAAAAAUUUCACUUGAGGAGUUGAGGAUAGGAUAGUUCAUCAUGAUGGGGCACUCAAGGGUGUUCGAGGCAGUUGCGACUUGUGAGAGGAGCAAGAUGAGAAUAUUCAAGAAGCCGUUUCUAAUAAGUCACGGGAUAAAGGUAAUCUGACUAUGAGUCGAGCCAUUAAGAAGGGAAGAGGCAGAAUCUAUGCAUAAACCAAUUGAGGACGAGCGAGAAACACUACUGACUGGAAUCAGGGGUUCUCUAGAGAGUGAGACUUCAAGGAGAGGGCAUUGUACGCAUAGUCUUCAGCAAAGUGUCGGGCUUUGGAAGAUGAGCUUGCUAUAAUGAAACAUGAACUCCCCCAAUGAAAAAUCAGUUUUUGCACCUACGAAAGACUUGAAGGAGGCAGGUGAGCAAGAAGCAACAAAAUAACAUUUUAAACAUGUAAAUGCUGAGACCAAAUCACUGCUUGCUAAGAUUGGACUUUUGGAGAAGGCAGUCGAAAAGGAGACAGUUGUCUGCAGAGUGUAGUGUUAAGUGUAAAAUGUCAAUGAGCUUUUGAAAAUGAAACAUGAUGCUGACACCUGGUGAAGUCAAUUAGCUCCAACGGCAGGCUCAAAGGAUGAUGUCAAUCAAGAACUUCACAUGACAAAUAAAAAGAAAGAAGAAGCAUGAUAUUGUUAAUCAAGAGCUUCAGAUGACAGAUGCAAAGAAACAAGGAGAAGAGGCACAACUUAAAGUCGUACUUGUCAAAGUUGGUUGGUUCCUUGGAGCAUAAGGUGGAAAAGGAGAGGGCAAGGUCUUCUGAGUUCUGAGUUAGCUGCCAAGUGUAGGAAGUUAGAAUUUCAGGUUUCAGCCUUGAUAUCUGGAGCUAUAAUUCAGCUUUCAUACUUCAAAUCUAAAGCUGAAUUUUUGCUUUCACCAAUCUCAAAGGAAGAUUUGGAUAAACAUCAGAUUGUCAUAAUGGAGGUACCAAACAUAAAGAAUCAAAAGGGAUGGAGAGGAGUACCAUAUAGCGGGAGAGUGCAUUCAAUUGCUUGGGACGGUUCAGUACAAGUAAUUUCACAAAUUGCUUGUCCUGAACCAAACCUGGAAAGAAAAAAUGAAAAUCAAUCCCACAGCAAAGACAUUUGGCAAAACGGCAGAUAGUAGCAACUAAAUACCUUCCGCUUAGAAACUAUAAAACCAUCAAGUAUGGAAAAAAAUGUGUACACAACCAUUUGCACUAAAAUCUUCAUUCAACUCCAAAACAAAUAUAAAGAAAACAUGGCUACCCUACAAACCCUGAUUCAGCAGCUGUUACUACUUAAGUCUUGUGCAAUUUGGCACAAGGGAAAGUUCCCCAAUCUGGUACCAAAUGUGUAUGUAAUAGUCAGAUUACAGCAUCAAAAAGAUUGCAGCAUACUAACAAUACUCAGAUUGCAGCAUAAUUGAAGGCCAAGUUAUAGUUCAGUUUUAAUUUUUUUACCUCUGUAUACCAGUAAACUGCAGUCAUAUAAUCAUUUAUUCUGGUGGCUUGUGCUCCAUUUUCUUUUGCUUCUAAGAAUUUUAUUUCAGCUUGGAGUUCCCGCUGUAAGUUAUGGAACAUGGUAACAAUAAACCAUCAAAUGCAACCCCAAAAACUAACAUAAGUAAAUUU